rnacentral:rRNA from 1 species
UACGAAGGGUGCAAGCGUUACUCGGAAUUACUGGGCGUAAAGCGUGCGCAGGCGGUUUUGUAAGCCAGAUGUGAAAUCCCCGGGCUUAACCUGGGAAUGGCAUUUGGGACUGCAAGGCUUGAGUGCGGCAGAGGAGACUGGAAUUCCUGGUGUAGCAGUGAAAUGCGUAGAUAUCGUAAGGAAGACCAGUGGCGAAGGCAGCCUUCUGGGCCAACACUGACGCUCAUGCACGAAAGCGUGGGGAGCAAACAGGA